UACGUAGGGUGCAAGCGUUAUCCGGAAUUAUUGGGCGUAAAGAGCUCGUAGGCGGCUCAGUUAGUCGGAUGUGAAAACUCCAGGCUCAGCCUGGAGACGCCAUUCGAUACUGCUGUGGCUAGAGUCCGGUAGGGGAGCACGGAAUUCCUGGUGUAGCGGUGAAAUGCGCAGAUAUCAGGAGGAACACCGGUGGCGAAGGCGGAUCUCUGGGCCGAUACUGACGCUGAGGAGCGAAAGCGUGGGGAGCGAACAGG
rnacentral:rRNA from 1 species